CUGCACUCCAGCUUAGGCAACAGUGAAUCCCUGUCUUAAAAAACAAAAACAAAACAUCAAAAUGGAGUUACAUCCAUCAAGUGGCACCACAUUAUGAUCACAGUAUAAGUAAAGGGCCUGUGUGUGCAGAUACUUAAUGUCCGUAAGUGAAGACGUGCAGUGAAAGUGAGCUGGCCUUUAUGAAAUCUUUGAGAGUGAGUACUGGGGCUGGUUAAGUUCUAGCUGAGAAAGGUUUUCGAAAUGAUGAAAUAUCUGGUUGGCCUGGGGCCUGAAUAAGUAAGUAGCAGGCCUUAAGUAAGCACCUUGUUUUUUGCUUUAGUGCAGGGCGGGCCAUUGUAAAGACUGGGCAUGACCUCCUGGUUGGUAGCAAAUCAUUGGGGAGCCCUUGGCUUUUAAGCUAAUUUUAUGGUUUGAAAUAUAUAAGGGAAAAAAAAAAAACCCAAGAAGACAUUUAGUACAUUUUAAGAGUAGAAUUAGGAAAAUGCAUGAUUAAAAAAAAUCAUGCAGUUUUAAAAUUUUGAACCUUCAAUGUCAUAAUUUUAUUGGUUCUCAAAAUUAUCUUGCAGAUUAUAUCAGAGUGCUGUGUUUUAAAGCUACAGGGGACUUGAGAGUUGGGGGUAUAUUCGUAGGUGCAGAGCCUGAGAUCUGGAGCAGUUGUGUCUUGCCUAUGUCUCAAGGCAAGUUUGGCAGCAGAGCUCUGGAGCAAGACACUCACUUCUCCCCUCUGGUUCGUUUUGUGGUGUGCCUCUCCACAAGGGGAGCUGGAAGGAAAAACCUGGAAUAUUUCCGUAUUUUAAAAAGCUGCUGCGUUGCUUCAAGUUGUGAAGAAAUUAGCAGAGUACGGAAAGACAUGUACAAUGACACAUUAAAUGGCAGUACAGAGAAAAGGAGUGCAGAAUUGCCUGAUGCUGUGGGACCUAUUGUUCAGUUACAAGAGAAACUUUAUGUGCCUGUAAAAGAAUACCCAGAUUUUAAUUUUGUUGGGCGAAUUCUUGGACCUAGAGGACUUACAGCCAAACAACUUGAAGCAGAGACAGGAUGUAAAAUAAUGGUCCGAGGCAAAGGCUCAAUGAGGGAUAAAAAAAAGGAGGAGCAAAAUAGAGGCAAGCCCAACUGGGAGCAUCUAAAUGAAGAUUUACAUGUACUAAUCACUGUGGAAGAUGCUCAGAACAGAGCAGAAAUCAAAUUGAAGAGAGCAGUUGAAGAAGUGAAGAAAUUAUUGGUACCUGCAGCAGAAGGAGAAGACAGCCUGAAGAAGAUGCAGCUGAUGGAGCUUGCAAUUCUGAAUGGCACCUACAGAGAUGCCAACAUUAAAUCACCAGCCCUUGCCUUUUCUCUUGCAGCAACAGCCCAGGCUGCUCCAAGGAUUAUUACUGGGCCUGCGCCGGUUCUCCCACCAGCUGCCCUGCGUACUCCUACGCCGGCUGGCCCUACCAUAAUGCCUUUGAUCAGACAAAUACAGACCGCUGUCAUGCCAAACGGAACUCCUCACCCAACUGCUGCAAUAGUUCCUCCAGGGCCCGAAGCUGGCUUAAUCUAUACACCCUAUGAGUACCCUUACACAUUGGCACCAGCUACAUCAAUCCUUGAGUAUCCUAUUGAACCUAGUGGUGUAUUAGAGUGGAUUGAAAUGCCAGUCAUGCCUGAUAUUUCAGCCCAUUGACUUGCUGGAUGAAGGACUAGAAUACAGCAGCUGUUAUAACACGACCAGUCAAUGUGGAACAAACUGUUUCUGUGCAACCCCUUUGUUUUACCAGACAAAAUUUGAAUACCUUUUUUCCUGAAUUGUAUAUGACCUUGGUGCUGCAUGCAUGCUGUUGACUUUUAGGACUUUGAUUUUUUAAGGUUUUUUUUCCCAGCAUUAAUAUUGAUUUAUAAAAAUUUGAAAAUCUUUAAUGAACUGGAACACUAAGAUUUAAACUAGAAAAUGCAUUGUUCAAGUAAAGAAAACCAUGAUGCUCUGUAUGUUAUCUGUGUGUGUGCAUGCACUCAGGUGCCCUUUGUUUCAUGAACAAAUACAUUUCAUUGUACAUGUUUUCCGUUUAAAUCAUUGUAUAAAGUAAUUGCAGGUCAGAAUUAUACCACAGAACUGUUUAUGAGAGGAUUGUCUCUGUUGCACAUUUCUUGAAGCAUUUUUAAAAUAACAUGUAACCUGUAACCUUGUUUAAGUUUUCCUUUCUAUUAAUACUCUGUCUUGUGGUCCCGUGCAUGCUCCUUUUCCCAGAACUCCUCUCUGCUGCACCCACAGCAUCUGUUCCCGAGGAGUUAUGACUCUUGACUUCCUGCAGGGCUAGGACUCUUACCACCAGCUGCUGUUCCAGCACUUUCAAUGCAAGAUCUCCCUGAUUUUGCCACAUGGAACUGUACUUGUAUUUGAUUACCUUAUCUAAAAUGAAUAAGGGGUGAUGAACCAGUUUACUGCUUAGAAAUAGCAAGAGGCACUGCAGUAAAGUUUGUUUCUCAUUGUAAAGCUUCAUGUCUUUUGUUUGUUGGAAAAUUUUUACUUAUAAAAACUUAAUUAGUAGCCUGGCAAAAUAAAGACCAAAAUGUGCAUAUCCCUAAUUGGCAUUCAUAAGGUGAAUAAUAAUAAUAAGUGCCAAAUGAAAAAAUCUAUUAUGGUUAAUUGUAUUUCUUGCCUUGCCACCUAAGCAGUAAAACAUGAUAUUGACCACUUGGAGAACUGAGAAAAUUAUUUUAAAUUGCUAAGUUAUAAUAAAUUUGCACACAGAUAACAUGCAUGCUAUUUAUGUCACGUCUCACAUUAAAUUAUUUUAAAAUAAGCAGUGCCCUUCAAAACAGAUGCAGACAUGUGUGUUGGUAGUAGUGAGGAGAUUGGUAUUAGCAUCAAAUCUUCAUUGAUGACUAAUUUUUAAUUCCCUUCCUUUUAUCUUUAGGUAUGGCUUUCCCAACGAAAGGCUAAGAAUUCAAGAACGGUCUUAACUGAACCCUCAUCAGAUCUGAAUUUAACAAAUGCUUAGUCUCAGCAGCCUCCGGGGGAAAAAAGCUUAGCCUAGCAGUCAGUGACUUACUUGCACUUUUUGCACAUAGAUAUAAAGUAAAAUUAUGUUAUUAAUUUGGUUUAGUCUGUAAUAUUACACAGUAAUGGUAAUUUAUAAAGGAGUGUAUAGUAGUAUACUGACUGCUAAGUGUACUAUACUGUUUGCUUUACUAAUCACCUAAUUCAUUGCAGUUCAUACUUAUUGACUCAGAGUUUAAAACCACAAUCUGUAGGCUUUAAGAAUUGCUUUUAAACCUUUUUAAGUGAUAAACUCUUGAAGUGGUCUUAAGGUUAGCAAAUAAUUGUCAGUAUUAAACAUGGCAUUAUUUAAGUAGUCCUGCUGCAAGAAAGGCACUUCAGUGAAUAUGUGACUAGUAAAGCUUAAAUAUGUUUGGAUCUAAUAGAGUUCAUGAAAUACUGUAACUUGGGGAUUGUAAAUGAAUGGAUAAAAUAGGUUAAGGCCAAGAUGUUUGAAAUGAAUGCAAUAUUAAUAGAUGCAUAUAUACAUGACAUAUUAUGGUUAGUUUUAAAACUACUGUGCCUUAACGUGUUUCUUAAACUUUUGUAGUAAAUGAACAUUUGAAAUCCAUUUUGAUAAACCUGCUGUUAAUGUUUUUUUUUCCCCCUUGUGAAUGUUUUCUAACUUUGUCUUGGUAAUUGCAAUUUAACUAGGUGCGGUGGCUACUAAAGUUCGAAGGCACGAUAUGCGUGUCCAUCCUUACCAAAGGAUUGUGACCGCAGACCGAGCCGCCACCGGCAACUAACCUAUGACCUUCUGACCUCUGAACUCUUCACCCAAUGAUGACCUGACCAUGCCUGCCUGCUGAUCAGUUAACUGGUAAUCGCCUUUGCUUGCCUGUCGUCAGUGCAGCAAGCUGAGGCACUUGUCCGUUCGUCUUACCAUCUAACCAAACAAAAGACAAAGAAAUUGUUGUCCUCCAACUCAGCUUUUUUUUUUUUUUUUUUUUUUUUUUUUCCUGUUUGGGUGAAAGUGGUUCUAGAACCUGCACUGAAUAGUAGUAAAGCAAUAAGGCCCAAUUCAUCCCACAGCACUGAUCAUCUUCUAAUAUCCCACCCUAAGCGAACGGUAAGAAGGCCUCUCUUAAGAAUGGGAGACAGAUGGCCCUUAACUACUCAAUGACAGAGGCAGUUACUGUGAGAGACUUCUAGGAAUCUUUUUCUUCUCAUAGUGAAGUUAAAGCUCUCUCUGAAUGUACUGUGUGAUGAUGCAUCAUGCAUGAACCUUCGGUCAGGGAUGUCAUUGGUUGGUGAAGUGAUUUCAAAAAGUAUUCAAAAUUUGAUAUGCUGUUUAGUCACUACAGUGCCCUCAAAGGGCAGAAGUUGCAGCCUUUUUUAUAUUGCCUGCCAAAAUUUGAAGUAUUAGAGGAAAGUGUGCCAUGAGAGGAGAAACUUAAGGAGUUUUGAAAAGUAAUGCAAAUAACAAAACUGCAACACUAUUUUUAAAAAGACAAAUAUCUGAGUUAAAAUUACUGAAUCUUUAUUUUACACCUUCUAAAAAAUAUAUGAGAACAAGGUACAUGCAUUAUGUGUCACAUUACUGGGCAAACUGUUCAAGUAUUUUUUUUUAAACCUCCCUGUAUAGAAAAAAAUCAUUAAGGAUGUAAAAGCCAUGCUUGCCUAUUUGCUGUAUACAUGUAAUGAAAUUGUAGAUAAAGUGUAGUGCAUUGAAACAAAUGAACAAAAAAGUAGAUACUUUUACUAUACAAGGGUGCUGGUGCAGAAAAAAAUAUAUAUAUUUUUGGAAAUGUAGCAUUUUAUACUUUCAAGUGUUAUAAAAAAAAAAAAAGAACAAAGAAACCCUUUAUUUCAUUAAAUGAUUUUUUCUGGUGGUUGUCAAGAAACAAAAGACCAAAAGAGCCUUUUUGUCUUUCUUUUUUAUUUUUUAAGUAUUGGAAUAAGUCUAAAGAAAAGAAAGUGCCUUAUUUUUCUUCAUGGUCAUUUAGUCAAGUGUCUCAUAAAGAUCAGCUCCUCCCUCAGAAUACAAGUUAAUGCAUGUUACUCAGUCGCCCAGUAUGUGAAAGAAAAUAAGAGGGAGACAAAUGAGUUGAUGGUUUGAAUCAUAUGAUUUUUGCCACAUUACCUUGAUGCAAAUUUGCCAAAUCUGAUACUGUGAAGAGAUUUGAUAAUUUUUCUAAUGCCUGACUAGCAAGUUUUAAAACAUCAUUCUUUAAAAAAAUUAUAAUUGAAUACUUUUGGUUAUUCCAGUCUUCAAUGAUAACCCAAAGGACUCUGAGAUAAAAAUUAUGUGUAACCUGAACUUCAGACAAAAUUAGAGCUUUGUUUUAUUUGGAGAAGGGGGAUGCAUUCAUUUUGUUUUGUUUUUUAUUUUGUUUUUAAUUAAUUGGAGAUAAUAGGAUCCCUAGCAAAUGUUUUCACGAAAGUGACUCUUUGUGAUUUUCAUUCUGGAAAACAGUGUUUUAAAUAACCCAAAUGUAACCACGUCUUUAUAUCAUACCAGAUAACAUGUGUAAUGCAUCUCUUUACAGUUUCAGUAACCUCUGCCUCCCCGACCCUUUAGGUUUAAAAAAAUGUGAAAAACUAGCAUCAUAGUGCGUAUAAUACUCAACCACAUUUCAGCUUAAGCUUCUAAUUUCUCCAGAAGUUCAAACAGUUAUAUAGUUCAAGCAAUUUGUGUUCACAGCCUACAUCUAAACACUUGAGUGAAUAAUCAUUAACUGCUCAGUACCAGAUGUGGCAAAUCUCAAGUGAUGGUGGACUCCCCUCCAGCUUAUCAACUCGUCCCCUCUUCCACACCUUCCCAGCGUCGCAGUCAGAGGUCAGCAGGAAGCUUAGUCAGUACCUUCUUGGCGACCUCCCCUGCCAUCUUGUCUCACUUGGAAACCGUUGUCAGUUUAUUUACUAUGCAAUAGACAUUCAUUGUUUUGUAUCCAGCUAGUUUUGGUUUAAUAUGCCACUGCUUUGUCUUUCUGUUACACAUACAGUUUUGAUUUAUUUACAGUAUAUGCUGUGCCAUUUUGAUUUUUAUAUUGUUUGGUUGGUUGAAUCAAUUUGCGGCACUCAAACACUUGAGGUGAUAGUUAUUAAAAACAAUACCAGUAUUUGACCCAAUUUCAUCUCAACUAUGUUAUACCUGGACAUUUUAGAUGUUUAUCAAAGGUCUUUUAUGGGGAAGAAAGUAAAUGUAUGAAAUAAUAAAUGUGUGACAUUUAUGGGUAAUGUUGGCUCUGAGCAAACUUUUGAAAACUUGGUUGACAAAAUUUUGGAUCAACUGAAAAAAAAAGCAUGACUUUUGAAAUCUCUGAAUGCCUUGGUUCUCAGUAUUAUCAUUCUUUAUUGAAUUUAUUUCUUAUUAAAAUAUGUAGUUUUUAAGACUUUUUUUCUGACAGUAUUAUGUAAUUUUUUAGCGUGGGUAGAUGGGAGUGUCGCUUGUAUGUUAUCGUACAGCUGACAUGUAUUUUUGUCUAUUCUUUAUUAUCUUAGUAGUUUCAUGCUAUGUAUGUACCAUAACCAACCUAUUGCCUAUGAGAAACAUGUAAGAUAAUGUAUUUACAGCCAUUGUUACAAGUUUAUAAUGUAUUUUUCUAUCUUGUUUUAUAUGUAUGUUAUAUAACAUUCAAAAAGAAUUUUUUUCUUGAUUGAGAAAAAGAUACAAAAUGCAAAAUCCACAAUUUUGAUAACUGAAAAUUGCCAAUUGUUUUGCAGUACUUUACUAUAUUGGGUGUCUUGUCUUUUUUGGGCUUUUAGUUAGCUAAUGAAUGAAUACAUUAGACACUUUUGGGUUUUAGUUGGGAUUUUACAUAGCUUGCAUUUUAAUUCUUUGGUUCUUUGCUGUUUCUAUUAACCCAUAGCAUUAUUUUAAUAAAUGUUAUAAUACCAACCUACUAACUCUGGACUGUGUCUGUUUAUUAACCUUUAUAUGUUUAAUUAAAAUAAAUAAAGACAAAAGAAUGUAAAGUCUUGAGUUACUGGACUAACCCUGAAGAACGUGACCACAGAUAACAUAGCGUGACUUGUUUUUAUGUUGUUUGUCAGCUGACAGUUCCGCACACUACUCUUAAAAUGGCUUUGAUUAUUCUGGUCUUUUACCUGGUGGGGAGGGAAGGUAGGUGCCGUAGAGAUGGGAACAAAGUAGCCUUUGUUUGAGGCAGUCUUCUGCUCUUGCCACUUGCCUUUUAGCAUCUGCCUUACUAAUUCCACACCUUAUUUUUCCUUCUCCAAAAUAAUCACUGUCUGCUCACAGCAUCAAGAGUAAAAAGAUACAUUGUAAUGGUAUAUACCUGGAGAAACCAGUUUGAUUCUUUGUUGAACCAUUUCUUUUAAUUUCUGUAAGUAAUUUUAUGGUCACAUUGUAAAGCAGAGAAACUGUUGAUAUUUUACCUUUAUGUAGGUUUUUGUUUUAACUUGACCUUUUUCCUUUGGAAAGCAUUGAACUUCUUUGGCUAACUGCUCCUAUUAGGGGGCUCAACUUGGGUGAAGCCAAAGGCUCCCUGGCUGUCUCUCUUGGUGGCCCCGGUGGCCCAGAGCUCCACCACUUUCCAGUGAGGUAAAGAACCCUAGCAUAUUAUUGAGUUUUCCUCAGAAAACUUUAAGAGGGAAGGACUACAAGAUUUGAAAAGUUGUGUAUGAUUAAUUUCUUGCAUGCAUACCAGUUUAAGGUUUCUUAAAUAUCUUCAUGCUUUUCUUGGCUGAAACUUGGCAAAUUAACCUGUAAUUAUGAAUUCUUUAACUCAAGGUGCAUUUUUAUUUCACAGAUUGGUACUUGCUUUUUUCUGUGAAACAAUUCUCUUAGAUAAAAUUCUCAGGAUGAAUUUUUGCAUUUGUAAAUAACGAUAUAUCUUUGUAAAUUACAUUUUAUUUAUUUAGAGUUCUAAAAUGUGCGGCUUAAAUGAGUUACAUAUAAUAGAAGACAAAACUAUACCAGUAUGCUCUUAACCAGAUUGUCAAGAUACUCUCAUUUCAUCAAUAUAUAUACACACAUACAUAUAUAGAUAAUAUACAGAGUAAUGAUGGCUGAUUUGAGUGAUAACAGCUAAUCACCAUUGAGAUGGUUAUUUGGAUCAUGUAAACAAACCUGGUCAUUUCUCUGAUGGGAGCGGUGGGCAGUGUGCUGUUGUUUGAUAGACAGGUCUUUAGCAUGCUAUUUGUACAAGUUUUCCUUGCCAUAUAGUUCAUGUAGUAGUCUGUGAGAGUUCAAAGAUGGCUGUCAAGCUGCUAAUAUACAAGUUGUCAUGGUGCCAUGUCACUUAAAUUGAUGAAUUUCUAUGCAAUGUACUAUUCUCUGAAGCCUAUGAAUGCAUACUCAUCUCAUUUUCAAUUAAGGCUACUUUAUGUAUAAUUAUGUCAUUGCUACCUUUUAUGUAAGAAAUGUAAAAAAGUUUUAAAAGGUGCAGAUAACAUUUCAGUUUUUAUACAGGUUGCAAUAUUAUUAAACAUGAAACUGCCAAAUUCCUAGAAUCACAUUACGGAUUUUUUAUACAGGUUACAAUAGUAUUAAACAUGAAACUACCAAAUUCCCAGAAUAGUAAAAUUUCUAGGGUCAGUUUAUUGAUUGAAACUAUUUGAAAAAAAAAACAAUUGAAAAUUGAGCUUUCAGUCAAGAAGUUGGCGAAAUUAAUGUACUUAAACAUCUUUUUUUCUGUAGGCAAAAUGUCAGGGAAAACUGAAUGUGAAAGUAGUUAUUCACAUGCACCCCGGCACGGUAGCUCCACAUGUGAGAGAUCAUUCAAGCACCCUGCCCAUAAAACCUGCAUGUGUAUACAUAAACACAAUUGGUGUCAUUACAGUUUUCUAAACACUAGAUAAAGUUCCUAAUUUUUUAGUGUGCCAAAAGCAAAUGAUAGGUUUAAAUGAAAUUGCUCAUUACCAAAUCAAGACUCUUUGAAAUUUAUAAAUAUAUAAAAGUCAUAACACUUUAACAUGUGACAGCCUAAGGUUUUUUUAGUUUGGGGGUGGGGUGGGGGUGGUUUUGCCUGUUGGACCAGGAUGAAAUGCCUGUCUUUAUUCCUUGGUAAGACGUAGCCAUUACGGCAUUUCAAACUAUUUUUGGUAGAAGAGAACAUACUGCCAAACGAUAAUUCAUUUAGCAAAAAUUAUUCUCCAACUUUCUGAAUUCACAAAUUUUCUAAUUGCAUAGAGUAGUUUAUUACAUUGUCACGAAUUCUUUAAUGCCUUUAUUUCAAAUGGAAAAAAUAACUUUAUGGACAAUAUUUUAGAAAUACCAUGUGAUUCACAUCUAAUUUUAUAUGUAGCUGCUUUUAAGUGAUCAAAAUUGAGAUGCCUUUGAUAUGAAGAGAUUUACCUACAUUAUAUGCACUCGUGCCCUCAAUGCGGAAUCAAACUGGUUAACUUGUGCACAGGCCUCUCCUGUCUAUGUCUCUGCUGCACUAAUUGCCAGGGGAUGGGAGAGAAGGUGGAGGAAUUCAUUCACAGUAGAAGGAGGUAAUAGGUGCGGCAAAUAGCAGCACACAGUAUUGAUUCCACAUUAUAAUUUUGUUGCCCCUUCUCGGCAAAAGAUACCACAUUGUGGGAAGAUCACAGCUUCCAGGGUAAAAGUUAAUUUAUAACUUUAAAAAGUGCUAUUAAGUUUUUAUUACCAAAUAUAUCUUUUAUGGUUUAUAUUGUAGUGGUAUGUAUGAAACAUUUAAAAUUUUACUUGUGGAAAUGGCGUGUGUAUAUAUAUCUAUAGAAGUUGAAAUAGGUGUUCCCACACGUGAACGGAGAACUGCAUAUGACUGUACGUGAAGUGCAAUAAACAACUGGAAAAAGUACAUGUGCUUCAUCCUGUCCAGCCAACUGCAGCUGGAAAGUGCUGCUUAUUCUCCACCUCCAGAAAUGCAUGUAUAAAUAUAGAACAAAGAAUGCACACUUUCAAUUUUAUUGAGGUUUUCAACACUAUUUAAAAAAAAAUGUAAGCAUCUGACAUUCUGGAGUUCUAAAUUAGAAGAUGAGCAUAAUAUUCACCCUGAUUUUAGUUACUAAAGGAGAUUAGUAAACAGACUUAGUGUUCCUCAGUUGGACUGUGCAUCCAAGAUAGUUAACAUUUUUUAUUUUUAAUAAAUGGCACAACUUUUAUGUGUUUUUUAUAUGUAAGAAAGAAGAAAGGAAUGCUGACCAAAACUUGAUUCAUGAGAAGAACUAGUGUCAUUAACUUGUGGAACAAAGUAGAAUUGGUUUAUUUUAAAAAUUGUUUCCAGUAGUGUGAAACCUUUAGGAUUCUUUAACAUCUAAAUGUUUUGACUCCUUGUACCUUAAGUUUUCCAGUCUUCCUUAUUUACAUCAUCUCCAAGUACCUCUGCCUUCUUUCCUCUUGCUCACUGGAACCUUAGUUUUCCUCAGCAGGAUGGUUUGUAAAAGUAGCCCACAGGUGUAGGAUCUGUGGCAUGUCAUACAGACUGGUGGCCCAAAGGUGUGCUUGGUUUGGCUUAUGCAGUGUUUUGCUUUUUAAACUACUUGCCAUCAUUUGAAGGUGGAAACACUAAUAAAAAAGUCUGAUUGCCCAUAUUAGAUUUUUUUUUUUUAAAUCUCUUCACAAAAUGUGCUCCUCCUCAAAAAUCAAAAUGUCUAGAAAGCCCAAACAUGUAUUGUCACAUAGUAGGCACCAGCUGAAACUUGAGUAAUCAAACUACCCCCUUAAGCCAAGUAUUCCCUGGUUAAUCGCCACCCCACCACUCCUUCCUGUCUCUCGUGUCACACUUGGGCUGUUGGUUUUCUUACUCCUGUCUUGCUUUAAUCCUUCCUCCCCACCCUCUGCCCAGCUCCUGUGGAUAUCUGCUUGUCUCCUGGUCCAGGAUGGUGAUCUUUCAAACCAACUUCUCAAAAGGGAUGGCAUAAAAUAGAUUUCGAUGUUUUUCCUUCUGCAAAAUCAGAUGAAUGUUCUAUCAAAAUUAUUAGUCACUUAUUCAUGCAUAUUGGAUUUCUUACUGUUUAAAGAAGGACUUCUAUUAAGUGAGUGGAAGGAUUAGACAUUUGGAUUUUCCUCCUAAUGUAAUUUUUUAUGAUUACCUCAUACAAUAAUUUGCGGUGGUCUUAGCAGUUAAACUAAUUGACCAUCUAAUAGUUGACUAUAAAUAUAUCUAAAAUAAUAGUCAUAAGUUUGGCAUCACAACUUUCCCCAAAAAAACUUUAUUAAAAUUAGAUUAUUCCCGUGUAAUGCUAUUUUGUGAAGUAUAUAUGUACAUAAUGUAUACUCUCUGAAAGUGCUUGUUUUUAUAUGCUAUACAACAGUUCCAAUUUUAAAGACUGUCUCUUGGGAUGAAAAUCUAUAGCCUUUGUUUUCUUAAAGUAUCCUAUUCUAUAUACAUUGAUAACUGGGUAUUAAUAAAGUUAUUACAGGAAAAAAAUGACUAAGAGCAAAAGGAGAAGAAAAUAUUUGCAAAUGAAUCCACAAUUCUUGCAGAACUAUUUGAGUUGACUAAAGAUUUUAUGAUCAAUCCUUUAACUUAGAACUGUCAAGGUUGGGAAUGAUGAAAGUAAAGUGCCUUGGCUAUGCUUGAAACCUGAAUUUUAAUGCUUCCCUUAUUAUAUUCAUUGUCUUAAAUGAUUUGGUUUACGAAGUUAAGACAUACUAGUAGUAUAAGUGGAAAGUUGGAUACAUUUUAAUUAAACGAUAUAUGUUAAUGAA